UGCCGAAACUCGGGGAUUUCGAUUUGCUGGUUGCUCAUGUGACCAUGUCUGUUGAGGAGCUAAAAAGGGCUCGUGUCGCUGCUCGUGGAUGGCUGAAGAGAGCAGUAAUCAAGAUUGAUCAGGCUGUGGCCUCUGGCGCAGAUGAUGUUGAGCUCAACAGUAUUAUCAGUGAGUUCAAUCUGAGGCUUGGUAAUCUUGAUGCAGUGCAGCAGAAACUGGAGCUCUGUCUGGAUGAGUCUGAGUUGGAAGAAGACAUCUCGAGAGCAUCUGAGGUUCGUGAUGCUGCAUUGGAGUCACGCUUGCGAGCUCUGAGGUUUGUCGACAAAAGGUCUGCUAAAUCUUCGAAGCCAGGCAGAGAUUGAGCGACUGGAGCGGUCUCGAGUCCUGGAGGGCAGCUCUGUCCCUCUGGAUCUGGAGCAGAGACUGCCGGCUGCUCAGAAGAGGAAUGGACGUCGGCCCCAGCCGGCGUUUCAGCGCCGUCCACCUGCUUCAAGAGGACCUGCUCCUGCCGCAGCCUCUGUGCUGCACUCUGCUGCUGUGCCGGGUGACCAACCCGCACCUGCUCUUCAAGAAGCUACAAGAGUCGUCUCUACCUCGUCUGGUUGUGGUUUCUGCAGAAAACCACACCCCACAGAUAAGUGUCCUAAGAACUCCUGCUUUGGCUGGGUCGUCUCUGGUGCAGUGACCGAUGCGCAGUGCAGCGCCAGCCUGGUCUCCUGUCGCCUCCUCUGUCUGGGCGACCUGAGGGACACAGAGACCAGCUGUACGAGUCUGACCUCUGGUUCGGCGGACCUGCAUGGCUAAGGGCGCCACGAGUCUCGCCCGUCGACUGCAGGUUGUUUGUGACAACCGAGGAGCUGGCCGAGUCGGACACGGGCGAACGGGAGACCGCCACUGGUGAGCCGGAGUGCUCUGGUGAGCG